GGGAUAGGACGAGGCCGUUGCUAAGUCCCGGUAACCAUGGAGAGCGUCACUUGGAGCUGAGCGCAGCCCUGUCGCGCGUCUCUUCGUCUUUCCGGGGUUUGAAGAGACCGGAACCUCUAGUGCUACGGGCUGGGAGAUGCGGUCCCUGGUGCAGGAGGGUGUGCUGUGUUCUCGGUGCUAGCUCUGCUUCUUUUACCGUCAUUAUCACCACCUGAACUCAUGUGUGCAUUUACUCAUCUGCUGUCCUGUCGACUCCACCGGAAGGAAUAUCAGCUCUGUCUCCAACACCCUGAGCCCCCGCAGCCCAAUAACUACGAGUCGGGAUUCCCUUCCCUUUUUUGUGGAAAGAGUCCUUUCAGCAUCUGGCGAAGCUGUUAAACCAGGGUGGAGAGGAUGGUGGAGGCUGGUCUGCUCACCCGUGUCUCAGACCCAGUGAUUGGCUUACGCACCAAGGGGAAGCGAGUGAUUCCAAGCUGGGCCCAGUGUCUUUGGGAUGCGGGGAGAAAGGUUCUUCUGCCUUCUGAGGAGGUUUCUGUGGGAAGAGAGCAGGCCACUGGUCUACAAUAGAACCACGAGGUUCUCAAAUUUUACUUGCAUGAAAUCCAGACAUUGUCUAAGAGAUCUGCAACCUUUAAAGAACAAUAUGGAUUCCAAACCCUUGUGGCAUGAACUGUGACCAGAAGCAGUCUUGACUGGCCAGAGGAAGCAGGCAGGUGGCAGCAUGUAAACUAUGUGCCAACAAAAUCCAACCCAUGUGUCAUCCAGCACAUUUUAUUAUUUUUAAUAAAUUUUAAUUAUUAUGGGU